UACAGAGGUCUCAAGCGUUGUUCGGAUUCAUUGGGCGUAAAGGGUGUGUAGGUGGCGCGCUAAGUCAGGUGUGAAAUUUCGGAGCUUAACUCCGAAACUGCAUUCGAUACUGGCGUGCUUGAGGACUGGAGAGGAGACUGGAAUUCAUGGUGUAGCAGUGAAAUGCGUAGAGAUCAUGAGGAAGACCAGUGGCGAAGGCGGGUCUCUGGACAGUUCCUGACACUGAGGCACGAAGGCCAGGGGAGCAAACGGG
rnacentral:rRNA from 1 species